GUGCUCACUUCGGCAGCACAUAUAUCAAAAUUGGAACGAUACAGAGAAGAUUAGCAUGGCCCCUGUGCAAGGGUGACAUGCAAAUUCAUAAAGCAUUCCAUAUUUUU
rnacentral:snRNA from 1 species